rnacentral:rRNA from 1 species
GAUGAACGCCAGCGGCAGGCUUAAUACAUGCAAGUCGAGGGGCAGCAUGAUUGUAGCAAUACAAUUGAUGGCGACCGGCAAACGGGUGCGGAACACGUACACAACCUCCCAAUAAGUGGGGAAUAGCCCAGAGAAGUUUGGAUUAAUACCCCGUAACAUAACGAUGUGGCAUCACAUUGUUAUUAUAGAUUUUUCGCUUAUUGAUGGGUGUGCGGCUGAUUAGAUAGUUGGCGGGGUAACGGCCCACCAAGUCUACGAUCAGUAGCUGAUGUGAGAGCAUGAUCAGCCACACGGGCACUGAGACACGGGCCCGACUCCUACGGGGGGCAGCAGUAAGGAAUAUUGGACAAUGGACGCAAGUCUGAUCCAGCCAUGCCGCGUGAAGGAUUAAGGUCCUCUGGAUUGUAAACUUCUUUUAUAAGGGACGAAAAAAGGCUUUUCUAAGUCGUCUGACGGUACCUUAUGAAUAAGCACCGGCUAACUCCGUGCCAGCCGCCGCGGUAAAAC